ACUCCUACGGGAGGCAGCAGUGGGGAAUUUUGGACAAUGGGCGAAAGCCUGAUCCAGCAAUGCCGCGUGAGUGAAGAAGGCCUUCGGGUUGUAAAGCUCUUUUGUCAGGGAAGAAACGGUGAGAGCUAAUAUCUUUUGCUAAUGACGGUACCUGAAGAAUAAGCACCGGCUAACUACGUGCCAGCAGCCGCGGUAAUACGUAGGGUGCAAGCGUUAAUCGGAAUUACUGGGCGUAAAGCGUGCGCAGGCGGUUUUGUAAGUCUGAUGUGAAAUCCCCGGGCUCAACCUGGGAAUUGCAUUGGAGACUGAAAGGCUAGAAUCUGGCAGAGGGGGGUAGAAUUCCACGUGUAGCAGUGAAAUGCGUAGAUAUGUGGAGGAACACCGAUGGCGAAGGCAGCCCCCUGGGUCAAGAUUGACGCUCAUGCACGAAAGCGUGGGGAGCAAACAGGAUUAGAAACCCCUGUAGUCCCAUG
rnacentral:rRNA from 1 species